GACGAACGCUGGCGGCGUGCUUAACACAUGCAAGUCGAACGGUGAAGCUCCAGCUUGCUGGAGUGGAUCAGUGGCGAACGGGUGAGUAACACGUGAGCAACCUGCCCCUGACUCUGAAUAAGCGCUGGAAACGGCGUCUAAUACUGGAUACGAGAAGGGUCCGCAUGGGCACUUUCUGGAAAGUUUUUCGGUUGGGGAUGGGCUCGCGGCCUAUCAGCUUGUUGGUGAGGUAAUGGCUCACCAAGGCGACGACGGGUAGCCGGCCUGAGAGGGCGACCGGCCACACUGGGACUGAGACACGGCCCAGACUCCUACGGGAGGCAGCAGUGGGGAAUAUUGCACAAUGGGCGAAAGCCUGAUGCAGCGACGCCGCGUGAGGGAUGACGGCCUUCGGGUUGUAAACCUCUUUCAGCAGGGAAGAAGCGAAAGUGACGGUACCUGCAGAAGAAGCACCGGCUAACUACGUG
rnacentral:rRNA from 1 species